AUUGAACGCUAGCGGGAUGCUUUACACAUGCAAGUCGAACGAGUGGCGGACGGGUGAGUAAUAUCUCGGAACCUGCCCAGUGGAGGGGGAUAACUACUCGAAAGAGUGGCUAAUACCGCAUACUAUUAGAUCUGCCCAUAUGGGAUUAGCUAGUUGGUGGGGUAAAGGCUAACCUAGGCCACGAUCCGUAGCUGGUUUGAGAGGAUGACCAGCCAAACUGGAACUGAGACACGGUCCAGACUCCUACGGGAGGCAGCAGUGGGGAAUAUUGCACAAUGGGCGCAAGCCUGAUGCAGCCAUGCCGCGUGUGGGAAGAAGGCCUUAGGGUUGUAAAGUACUUUCAGGGGGGAGGCGUUACCGACAGAAGAAGCACCGGCUAACUCCGUGCCAGCCGCCGCGGUAAUAC
rnacentral:rRNA from 1 species